CCGCCUGUGGCCUAGUGGGCAAGGUUACUGUCUUGGGAACACAGAGUCGUAGGUUCAAGCCCAGCUAGGAGCG
rnacentral:tRNA from 1 species